rnacentral:rRNA from 1 species
GGUUACUGCUAUCGAGGUUCGACUAAGCCAUGCGAGUCGAAUGUAGCAAUACAUGGCGAACUGCUCAGUAACACGUGGACAACCUGCCCUUAGGUUGGGUAUAAACCCGGGAAACUGGGUAUAAUACCCGAUAGGUCUCGAUUGCUGGAAUGCAUCGAGAUUUAAAGCUCCGGCGCCUAAGGAUGGGUCUGCGGCCUAUCAGGUAGUAGUGGGUGUAGCGUACCUACUAGCCUACGACGGGUACGGGUUGUGAGAGCAAGAGCCCGGAGAUGGAUUCUGAGACACGAAUCCAGGCCCUACGGGGUGCAGCAGGCGCGAAAACUUUACAAUGCUGGCAACAGCGAUAAGGGAACCUCGAGUGCCAGGUUACAAAUCUGGCUGUCGAGAUGCCUAAAAAGCAUUUCAUAGCAAGGGCCGGGCAAGACCGGUGCCAGCCGCCGCGGUAACACCGGCGGCUCGAGUGGUAACCGUUAUUAUUGGGUCUAAAGGGUCUGUAGCCGGCCGGAUAAGUCUCUUGAGAAAUCUGGCAGCUUAACUGUCAGGCUUUCAGGAGAUACUGUCUGGCUCGAGGCCGGGAGAGGUGAGAGGUACUUCAGGGGUAGGGGUGAAAUCUUGUAAUCCUUGAAGGACCACCAGUGGCGAAAGCGUCUCACCAGAACGGACCUGACGGCAAGGGACGAAAGCUAGGGGCACGAACCGGAUUAGAUACCCGGGUAGUCCUAGCCGUAAAC